CAAAAAUACGACGACAAUGUCGGAAUGGAGAGUCCAUGGAAUCAAAAGUGAUAAUCUUGUUCCCGCAGCAAUAGGCCAGAUCAGGAUUGGAAUAUAAGUGCUGAAUCAGCUGCACACACUUUCACCGUCGCCGUCGGAGAGCUUGAAAAACCAUCGCCGAGCGGAUCAGAGUCACAAGCCAAUACCCAAAUAUUGUCUCCGUAGCCCAAAAAUGGAGAGAGAAGGAGAUCUUCCGCAACAAUCUCUCAUCCACGGCAGUAGGAGAUGAACCAAGAGGGAAGGAGAGGAGAAAGAGAGGCCGGAGAGGAGGGGGGAGCGGGAGGAGGAAGGAAUAGAUUAGAGGAGGGAAAGAAAGGGAAGGGGGUGGGGCUCGAGACGGGGAGCCCCUCCAUGACAGUUUUUUGUUUGAUAACUAAGGUGUUGAGAUUAGUUUACCCACAUCUCGACUAAUCCUGAUGUACAAUCCCACAUCUCACUAACAAGUGUUCCAAAUCAAAACCAGAACAAAACUCUAUACAGAUUGACUUCAAAAGAAUUGAAUCGAAUCUCGCUGUUAAGGAGUAUCAUUACGGGGCAACUGAUUCAGUAAACAGAUUCACGAAGCACAUUCUGAAAGAGCGGCUUUCUCCACCUAACAUAUCCAACUCUACAGUUCAUAGAGCCAUCCAUUAAAAACCAACCCCCAAAUUGGAAGUGCAAAAUAAGCAUAUACGAAAAACUUUAAGAUCAACAAAACUGUAUCUUUCCUACCUCAAAUUGCGGUUAGUUUUUAGCUUUGAAAAAAAAGGCUCAGUUUUCUGUCUCUCCAAGAAAAUGAAAUGCCGUAAGUUUUUUCUUUUUUCGCAAGCUACAACAGAGGGCAAGAUUUUCCUGGCCUAACUUCCAAACUACUUCACUUCUAGGGUUCUUCAAGAUCUCCACAUGCCUAAUACGAAUCCGAGAAUCUAAGCAUCCUCACAGU